rnacentral:lncRNA from 1 species
GGCACAGCCAUUCUGCUGGAAGUCAGGUGGACACUGAAGCCCAUCGCGAAUGCACCUCAACAUCGUGCUCUUUAGGUGGCAGGCAGGCGCGUUGUUUGUGUGUGUGUGAGUGUGCGACACUCACCACAACAGUGCCUGAUGUUGACCGAGAACUUACACAGGGCCGGGACCUGCCCGACACUACCACCACUUCAUCUCAGUUGGGACGGCACCCCUGCGAGCCGGAACUCGCCCCUCGCCCAAGGGAGGCGGCCCCCGCUCCAGGCACCAGGCUGGGAGGCAGGCGGCCUCAGGACGGGCUCUGCGUGCAGCAGCGGCCUCACACUCGCAAGUGGAGCAGACAAGGACGACCGCAGGAAACACUCCCAGCUGGGCUGUGGGCGGGAGCAGUCUCUGCCCACUGGGCGCACAUUGAUGCCACCCCUCGGGAGCGCCCCCAGGACCUCGCUUUCUGCAGCCCUGACAUCCAAGCCCUGGAAUGUCCUUCCUGUUCCACUGUUUCUCUUGGCCACCUCUAAAGAAGGCGUCGGGGAACACACAUCACUUGGGGGAGGGUUCCGUGUUCUCAGUCACGUCCUGACUCGAUGAGGCUUCUGGGUUGCUCAGUGUCUCAGACAGCCUCAGCCCCUGUUGUCCGAGUCUUUCCGCAGCAGAACUCUCUCGAAAGCUGUUUGCUUAUCUGUUUACUUCCAGGCAGAUCCAG